rnacentral:rRNA from 1 species
UGCCAGCAGCCGCGGUAACACGGGGGGCGCAAGCGUUGUUCGGAAUUACUGGGCGUAAAGGGCGUGUAGGCGGACCAAUCAGUCAGGGGUGAAAGCCAUGGGCUCAACCUGUGAACUGCCUUUGAUACUGUUGGUCUAGAGUUCGUGAGAGGAUAGCGGAAUACCCAGUGUAGAGGUGAAAUUCGUAGAUAUUGGGUAGAACACCAGUGGCGAAGGCGGCUAUCUGGCACGAUACUGACGCUGAGGCGCGAAAGCGUGGGGAGCAAACAGGAUUAGAUA